AAUUCUACAACCAUACAUCUUUGAAAAGCAGAACUGGGACCUCCUGCACAACCAGCAAGUGGUUUAUGGAUGGUAAAUCAACAAUAAACCACUUGCCUUUUCCAGCAGCCAUUGUACAGUCAACCAGCC